rnacentral:misc_RNA from 1 species
GAUGAAGAACGUAGCGAAAUGCGAAAAGUAAUGUGAAUUGCAGAAUUCAGUGAAUCAUCGAAUCUUUGAACGCACAUUGCGCCCGCUGGUACUCCGGCGGGCACGCCUGUCCGAGCGUCAUUUCAACCCUCAAGCCCGCCUUCGGGAUGGGCCUGGUGUUGGGGCUCGGCCGCCAUCUCCGGCGGCCGUCCCCUAAAUACAGUGGCGGUCACGUCGCGACUCCUUUGCGUAGUAGAAACACCUCGCUCCGGAUAGCAACGCGGUCCACGCCGUAAAACCCCCAAUUUUCAAUGGUUGACCUCGGAUCAGGUGGGAAUACCCGCUGAACUUAAGCAUAUCAAUAAGCGGAGGA